CUACGGGGUGCUGCAGUGGGGAAUAUUGGACAAUGGGGGGAACCCUGAUCCAGCGAUGCCGCGUGUGUGAAGAAGGCCUGCGGGUUGUAAAGCACUUUAGCUAGGGAGGAGUAGGUUGAGUUUAAGAGACACAACCGAGGACGUUACCUAGAGAAUAAGCACCGGCUAACUCUGUGCCAGCAGCCGCGGUAAUACAGAGGGUGCAAGCGUUAAUCGGAUUUACUGGGCGUAAAGGGUGCGUAGGUGGUUUGCUAAGUCAGAUGUGAAAUACCCGGGCUCAACCUGGGGGUGUCAUUUGAAACUGGCAGACUAGAGUCGAGGAGAGGGGAGCGGAAUUUCCGGUGUAGCGGUGAAAUGCGUAGAUAUCGGAAGGAACACCCGUGGCGAAGGCGGCUCUCUGGACUCAGACUGACACUGAGGCACGAAAGCGUGGGUAGCGAACAGGAUUAGAUACCCUGGUAGUC
rnacentral:rRNA from 1 species